GCCGCCUUAGCUCACUUGGUAGAGCGCCAGAUUGUGGCUCUGGAGGUAGCUGGUUCGAAACCAGCAGGCGGUACCA
rnacentral:tRNA from 1 species